CAACAGGGAUUGCCUCAGUAACGGCGAGUGAAGCGGCAACAGCUCAAAUUUGAAAUCUGGCUCCUUCGGGGUCCGAGUUGUAAUUUGCAGAGGAUGCGUCGGGUACGGGUCCCUACCGAGUUCCCUGGAACGGGACGCCAUAGAGGGUGAGAGCCCCGUCUGGUAGGAUACCCAGCCCAUGUGACGCUCCCUCGACGAGUCGAGUAGUUUGGGAAUGCUGCUCUAACGGGAGGUAUACUCCUUCCAAAGCUAAAUACCGGCUGGAGACCGAUAGCGCACAAGUAGAGUGAUCGAAAGAUGAAAAGCACUUUGAAAAGAGAGUCAAACAGCACGUGAAAUUGUUAAAAGGGAAGCACUCGCUACCAGACUUGGGUUCGGCGGUUCAACCGGGGCCACGCCCCGGGGCAUUCCGCCGGCUCAGGCCAGCAUCAGCUUUCCGUCGGGGGCAAAGACGUCGGGAAUGUAGCUCCUCUUCGGGGGAGUGUUAUAGCCCGGCGUGUCAUACCCUUCGGGGGGCUGAGGUACGCGCUUCUGCAAGGAUGCUGGCGUAAUGGUAGCUAGUGACCCGUCUUGAAACACGGACCAAGGAGUCAACCUUAUGUGCGAGUGCCCGGGCGUAAAACCCCAGCGCGGAAUGAAAGUGAACGUAGGUGAGAGCUUCGGCGCAUCACCGACCGAUCCUGAUGUCCUCGGACGGAUUUGAGUGAGAGCAUAUAGGGUUGGACCCGAAAGAAGAUGAACUAUGCGUGUGUAGGGUGAAGCCAGAGGAAACUCUGGUGGAGGCUCGCAGCGGUUCUGACGUGCAAAUCGAUCGUCAAACAUGCGCAUGGGGGCGAAAGACUAAUCGAAUCU
rnacentral:rRNA from 1 species